rnacentral:snoRNA from 2 species
AGCGAAAUGAUGAAGCAAAUUUUUGUCUGAAACUGAUGUAGAUCUCUUGUUUCAUACAUGCAAUGCCUUCAAAGUUCUCUGAUUGCU